CAAAGACUCAUAUUAACAGAGCUACUGAUCUAUCGAAAGAUUAAUAUUCCACACAACAAGACUUGGUAAACUUACAGGGAAGGAGUAAGGGUUUCUUCUAUUAUAUAAAUCCCUUUCAAGGUCUGUGGAAAUACAACAGAGCUAAGUGAAUAGGAAAAUAUACUCUAGUUAAGCAAUUCAUCUCUACUGACUACAAAUUUUAUCACACUAUCAAAUACCUGGACCAUUUAUUAUUUACAGAAACAUUUUAUUUCCUAAAGGUACAAGUUUUUUAAAAGUGAGAACAAAAACAAACUUUCAGCUAGGCGAUGGUGGCACACACCUAAAUUCCAGCUCUUAGAAGGCAGAGUCAGGUGAAUCUCUGAGUUUGAGGCCAGCCUGAUUUAUAGGGCUAGUUCCAGGACAGCCAAAGCUACAUAGAGAAACCCUGUAACAAACAAACACGUUUAAUUCCAAACAACUUACUAUUUCUAUAGCAAGCAUAACUCAAAGGCUGAAUAAAUGAUAAAGAAAAUCUGCAUAGAUUAUACUGGUGAGCCAAGUAUGCCUGCCUGCCUGCCUGCCUGCCUGCCUGCCUGCCUGCCUGCCUGCCUGCCUGCCUGCCUGCCUGCCUGCCUGCCUGCCUACCAGGAAUAUUUAGAAGAUAAACUGGCUGAUAGUUUGUUAUUAAAGCAGAAAAGGACUGUUUAGAUAGAUCAACAAUUUCUUGAAGUCAAGCAUUUAAAACCAUAUUUAGCAAAAUUUCGAAAGUCAUCUGAGGAGUUGUUACUCAUGAGUGUCCCCCUUGUCUUUUACCGCAGUUACAACCUUAGGCAGGCAAAGAGUAGUUAUCUUGCUGCCUCCAACUGGAUUCUUUGGGAUUGUUCUUGCUGCCUCCAACUGGAUUCUACAGAUCUGGUCCUUCCUUUCCGCUCAAUGCCUUUGGGUCAUGUCUUUCCUUUCUCCCCAAACAGCUCACAGGACUUCAUAACAGUGACAUGCUACUCACUGAAGGCUUUUAGAACCUGUCAAUCAUUAUCUGACUUACAGACCUAUACUUUACUACCAUAUACAUUAGUUCUCAACAGUCUGCAAAUACAAAGGCAGAGAAUUAGAAAAUAGACUUUUUUGUUUACCUUAUGCAGAGUACUUAAAUAGUGGGAAGUAACUCCAGCCACCUGACCAAGUGGAAGAAAAAAAUGUUCAAGUGCAGUCACAUGCCUUCAAGUUCUCAUAAAGGAAGAGCCUUCAGGACCACAAACAAAACCCCACAUACCAUCACAGAAAAAAGGCUCAAAAGACAUUACUGCAUAGAGUACAAAAAUUCCACUCAAGCAAUCUCCAUGAAGAACAAAGAGAUCCAGCUCCAGUUCCAGCCCCUCAGCUCACAGGCUGCACCAGCCUGGGCAAGAGGCUGCACUUUACAGAAACCACCUGCAAAGUUACCCAAACACUGCCUCCAGCUACAGUAGGCUCAGUAUUUCCAUAUGCAGAAAGAUCCACUCUGACUAGAUUGUUUCCAAACUUCUAAGUUUCUUCCACCCAGAAUAGUCUAUUACUGUCAUUACAAAACUUACACUGUCUGGACAGCUAGUAGGUGACAAGUCCACUCUCCCUACAAGCCUCUCAAAUGUAAUCAUAUCAUUCCUAUCUCAGGGAUGGAUCUAAGCUAAAAGGGAGCUUGCCUGGGGUUGUAGAACCCACUGUAGGAGAUUAAGGAUCUCAAUCCAAGCAGAAUGCUUUUAACUCUGAGAUUAAUCCUGCUCUCCAAAUCCCAUGAACCCAAGAGUGGGCCACAAAGACUUGUAAACCACAACCUGUUCAGGCUGUUUUCCCCUGUGCUUAAUAUAGCAGGUCUGUAAUCUGUGGAGGAAGAACUAUGACCAAUAUAAUUAACAGCACCCUCAAGCUAUUGGCCAUUAGAGAAGGCUAUAAAGUAGCAACACCAAGCCACAAACCCUAUGUUUUGUUUCUUGGGUAAACAUUUUAUCAAAAUUAAUCAAUGAGUUGUGAUGUUUUAACAUUACUGUACUUCCUUGGUCUUAAACAAUGUACCCACUGGAUAAUGCUGCAAAGAAUAAUUGCUCAAUAAAACCUGGCUGCCAUUAAACAUUG